AUGCCUUAAACUAAUGAGUAAGGAAAAUAAUGAGCUCGGGUAACGACGGGCUCCUGGACUAAGUAUUCCAGAGGAUUUUUUCACGGGUACAGGUCGCCCUCAGGUGGCCCGCCUACUUUGCGGGCUGCCUGCAUGGAUGUGAUCUGCCCA